rnacentral:rRNA from 1 species
GACGAACGCUGGCGGCGUGCUUAACACAUGCAAGUCGAACGGAAAGGCCCUGCUUUUGUGGGGUGCUCGAGUGGCGAACGGGUGAGUAACACGUGAGUAACCUGCCCUUGACUUUGGGAUAACUUCAGGAAACUGGGGCUAAUACCGGAUAGGAGCUCCUGCUGCAUGGUGGGGGUUGGAAAGUUUCGGCGGUUGGGGAUGGACUCGCGGCUUAUCAGCUUGUUGGUGGGGUAGUGGCUUACCAAGGCUUUGACGGGUAGCCGGCCUGAGAGGGUGACCGGCCACAAUGGGACUAAGAGAGGGCGCAGACUGCAACGGGAGGCAGCAGGGGGGAGUAUGACGCAGUGGGCGGAAGCCUGAGGCAGCGACGCCGCGUGCGGGAUGACGGCCUUCGGGUUGUAAACCGCUUUCGCCUGUGACGAAGCGGGAGUGACGGUAAUGGGUAAAGAAGCACCGGCUAACUACGUG